GACGAACGCUGUCGGCGUGCCUAACACAUGCAAGUCGAACGGAAAGGCCCUGCUUUUGUGGGGUGCUCGAGUGGCGAACGGGUGAGUAACACGUGAGUAACCUGCCCUUGACUUUGGGAUAACUUCAGGAAACUGGGGCUAAUACCGGAUAGGAGCUCCUGCUGCAUGGUGGGGGUUGGAAAGUUUCGGCGGUUGGGGAUGGACUCGCGGCUUAUCAGCUUGUUGGUGGGGUAGUGGCUUACCAAGGCUUUGACGGGUAGCCGGCCUGAGAGGGUGACCGGCCACAUUGGGACUGAGAUACGGCCCAGACUCCUACGGGAGGCAGCAGUGGGGAAUAUUGCACAAUGGGCGGAAGCCUGAUGCAGCAACGCCGCGUGCGGGAUGACGGCCUUCGGGUUGUAAACCGCUUUCGCCUGUGACGAAGCGUGAGUGACGGUAAUGGGUAAAGAAGCACCGGCUAACUACGUGCCAGCAGCCGCGGUGAUACGUAGGGUGCGAGCGUUGUCCGGAUUUAUUGGGCGUAAAGGGCUCGUAGGUGGUUGAUCGCGUCGGAAGUGUAAUCUUGGGGCUUAACCCUGAGCGUGCUUUCGAUACGGGUUGACUUGAGGAAGGUAGGGGAGAAUGGAAUUCCUGGUGGAGCGGUGGAAUGCGCAGAUAUCAGGAGGAACACCAGUGGCGAAGGCGGUUCUCUGGGCCUUUCCUGACGCUGAGGAGCGAAAGCGUGGGGAGCGAACAGGCUUAGAUACCCUGGUAGUCCACGCUGUAAACGGUGGGUACUAGGUGUGGGGUCCAUUCCACGGGUUCCGUGCCGUAGCUAACGCUUUAAGUACCCCGCCUGGGGAGUACGGCCGCAAGGCUAAAACUCAAAGGAAUUGACGGGGCCCCGCACAAGCGGCGGAGCAUGCGGAUUAAUUCGAUGCAACGCGUAGAACCUUACCUGGGUUUGACAUGGAUCGGGAGUGCUCAGAGAUGGGUGUGCCUCUUUUGGGGUCGGUUCACAGGUGGUGCAUGCCUGUCGUCAGCUCGUGUCGUGAGAUGUUGGGUUAAGUCCCGCAACGAGCGCAACCCUUGUUCACUGUUGCCAGCACGUUAUGGUGGGGACUCAGUGGAGACCGCCGGGGUCAACUCGGAGGAAGGUGGGGAUGACGUCAAGUCAUCAUGCCCCUUAUGUCCAGGGCUUCACGCAUGCUACAAUGGCUGGUACAGAGAGUGGCGAGCCUGUGAGGGUGAGCGAAUCUCGGAAAGCCGGUCUCAGUUCGGAUUGGGGUCUGCAACUCGACCUCAUGAAGUCGGAGUCGCUAGUAAUCGCAGAUCAGCAACGCUGCGGUGAAUACGUUCCCGGG
rnacentral:rRNA from 1 species